GGCCUAAUAGCUUUGAUGCUAAACUUGCUAGCUCCUCCAAGUGUACCUUCCUGACUUUGCAUCACAACACUAUACUAAAUCCCUAAGGAAACCAGAGCAGUGUUUUUUUAAUUAAAAAGAAAAACAAAUGCAAACCAGUAGGAUGGUCUUUAAAAUUAUCACAGAUGCAUUCUGUGAAGUGCAGGCCUUCAUAAAUCCUGGUACACUAGAGACCUUUAAAAAAAGAAGCAGAGAACGCUGAUCAGGCUCCAAAAAGCGAAAACAGGUGAUGUCAUAAUGCACAGUCCUGUGUGGUCGCGCCAAGACCGCGUGGGGAGCUGCGGCUCCAGGGAGCUCUGCGCUCCGAGCCACUGGGCGACGCAAGUUAUCUCCGGGGCCCGCGGACACCGGUGAGCGCCUGGCACCAAUCAGGUUCUCGCUCCGCACCAGUCUUUGUUCUCACUGGGGAGCAGGUUUCGGGUGUCUAGCGUCGGCUGUCCGCACUCCAUCCGCACGCUGGCCCCCUCGGGGUACUUGACUCCCCUCUCGGCUGUUCCCCUGUACCCCGUCAAUUAUACUAUAUCUGCUUCUCUCCCCUGAACGCGGACGCAAAAACCCUAACUCUUGUUUUUAGCUUUGAAAGAGGAAGGCUCAGCUCAAUCAUUUUAAAAGGCAAUUUGUUCUCUGAACCUUCCUUGGCAAGCAGGGCUCAGUGCUCUGCGCGUACAGGACCAGCUGCCUCAGAAAGGACUUCGGGUUGAGAAGACAAACCUCUCUUUGACCCUUUAGUGCUGGACAAACCCCACUUUUAUUGCUGAGACGGCUACAAGAAGGUGCUUCAGAUAGAGGAAACUGUUUAACCAGAGAUGUGUCUGCCCCCGCGAACUCGGUUAAUUGUAUACAUCUACCUCAAAUAUCUACCUCCAUACGAAUGUCAAGCUUCAGUUCAGAGCCUCGGAGAUAAAUUUAACUUGCCCGGAGAUUCAAGGCGUUCUCAGCAGCUGCGAUUGGCCCACGCGACUCACAGGCCGGGCCUAGAAGCUCAUUGGCUGCGGGCUGGCGCUCCGGGGGCGUGGCCAGGGCUAUCCGAUCAGCGGGAGGGGGCGGGACCGGA
rnacentral:lncRNA from 1 species